rnacentral:rRNA from 1 species
GUUGACCUCGGAUCAGGUAGGACUACCCGCUGAACUUAAGCAUAUCAAUAAGCGGAGGAAAAGAAACCAACAGGGAUUGCCCCAGUAACGGCGAGUGAAGCGGCAACAGCUCAAAUUUGAAAUCUGGCCCCAGGCCCGAGUUGUAAUUUGCAGAGGAUGCUUUUGGCGCGGUGCCUUCCGAGUUCCCUGGAAACGGGACGCCAUAGAGGGUGAGAGCCCCGUACGGGUUGGACACCAAGCCUUUGUAAAGCUCCUUCGACGAGUCGAGUAGUUUGGGAAUGCUGCUCUAAAUGGGAGGUACAUUUCUUCUAAAGCUAAAUAUUGGCCAGAGACCGAUAGCGCACAAGUAGAGUGAUCGAAAGAUGAAAAGCACUUGAAAGAGGCUAAACAGCACGUGAAAUGUAAAGGAGCGCUUGUGAACAGACCUGCGUCGUGAUACACAGCUCUCGCGCUGAGCACUUCGUCGGUACAAGUCCAGGCAAUUCAGCUGAAAAGAGGGUUAAACAGCACGUGAAAUUGUUAAAAGGGAAGCGCUUGUGACCAGACUUGCGUCCGGUGAAUCACCCAGCUCUCGCGGCUGGGGCACUUCGCCGGCUCAGGCCAGCAUCAGCUCGCUGUCGGGGACAAAAGCUUCAGGAACGUAGCUCUCUCCGGGGAGUGUUAUAGCCUGUUGCACAAUACCCUUCGGCGGGCUGAGGUACGCGCUCCGCAAGGGAUGCUGGCGUAAUGGUCAUCAGCGAC